GACCCACGGUUGCUCUUAACCCUGGAACUCCGAGGGAGUCACCCGGGAAGCUCUGCAAAGUUCUGUGCCGGGCCCUACCCCAGACUUUCUGAUUUAAUUCUUGUGGAGUGAGGCCCAGCAUUGGCAGCCAUGGUGUAACAUAAUGAUUACUAACUGGCUUGGCAUCAGACAAACCUGCAUCUGAAUCUUGGUUCUAUCACUUCCUGACUGCAUAAUUUUGUGCCAGCUCUCCCAGGAUGAGUUCUGCUGCACAAGAAGACCAAAGCUUCAUACUUGUGCCUAUUUGAAUUCUACCGUUUGGGGAUAUGCUUUGUUCUUUUGUUGAAACCAGGAGAAACUGAAUGAACACUGCAGCAAAAAAGAGGGUCCAUUUGAAGGGUAUAGAGACCUGAUAAAGGAAGACUGGACCUUUUACAAGGGCAGCUCCAGGGAUCUAAGCAGCAGAAGGGCUAAGAUACUACCAUUCAAGCACUGAAGACCAGCUGACUUCUGCUGCUGGAUUUUUUUCUACUCCAGAUUUAAAUUAUCAGACAAGAGGGAUACCAAUUGACCUGCCUUGGGUCAAGUGCCUAUCCUUUGGUAGGGAUAGAGAAUUCGGCAUCUCUAUCAGAACCACAUGGAAGUGAGGAUGGUAAAGAUAGACAGAAAAAAGAUAGAAGAUAGAAGAGAAAAACACUUCUGUCAACUCCUAAAAUUAACUGCUGUGUUCUGGAAUUUUGCAUGUGUGUCACGAAGGCUUAUUUUUGGACCUUCUUUCUGUCUUGGGACCCAGUUUUUAGAUUCAGCAAUCUUGUGUGAUUGGUCUUGAUUUUGGUUCUGGACUAUGCUUUGCAACCCUGCUUAUCCCACAGUUUUAGGAAAAGCAAAUAUACUGCUACUCUGCUCACGCUGUUGUGGGUUAGUCUUUAGCAAAGGCGGUCAAAGGCACUCCCAUCUCUUAGCUCCAUAAUGGACAAGUUGAGCAGAAACAGACUCAGCAGAGAUAGGGGAAACUUUGCCUAAGAUGCUACAGAUGGUUAGAGGCAGGUUCAGGACUAGAACUCAGGUAUACUGAUUUCCCAUCCAGUGCUCUUUCCUUCUGUAGUAAUUAUUUCCAGUCCAACAUUUGAGAGCUAACCAGAAAAGGAGAAUAGAGUUACUGCCAGAACAUCAGCACAUUCAGAAGAGUUUGAAAGCGUGUGCCUUUUUGUGUGCAGAGAUUGUGAUUUGAACACAUUAAAAAUUAGAAAUAGAAUGUCAGCAGUCGUGUCCUGCUGGUAUUGUAAAAAAUCUUAAGAAGAUGGAUGGUAGUUUUGAAAUAGAAGAUUUAAAGAACUUUGUACUUUGCACUUUUCCACACAUGUGACAGGUGGGAAAGGAAAAGUGGCAGGAGGAAGACUGUCACGCAUUCAGAGACAAGUUUCACACAGCCGGCUUUGGAGGUGAGCCAGAUUACUGGACUGCAGCUCUAUUAUGAGGUGUCACUUUCUCUAAACCCAUAACAAUGCCUUUCACUUUGGGAGUGGGCGCUGUAGCUGGCUCUCACAUUUACCAUUGACUGCUCCACUACCCGCAACACACCCUAUUUUGGAAUCUCCUUCAUUUGGAAACAGGGAGUGGCACAGGGAAGGCCCACAUAUGACCUCCCUGUUUUUAAUAACCCCAUC